UACGAAGGGGGCUAGCGUUGCUCGGAAUCACUGGGCGUAAAGCGCACGUAGGCGGACUCUUAAGUCGGUGGUGAAAUCCUGGAGCUCAACUCCAGAACUGCCUUCGAUACUGAGAGACUCGAGUCCGGGAGAGGUGAGUGGAACUGCGAGUGUAGAGGUGAAAUUCGUAGAUAUUCGCAAGAACACCAGUGGCGAAGGCGGCUCACUGGCCCGGUACUGACGCUGAGGCGCGAAAGCGUGGGGAGCAAACGGG
rnacentral:rRNA from 1 species